GGGGUUGGGAUGCGGGCUGCGGGGUAGCGUGGCCCCGGGGGCGAGGGGCAUGGGCAGGCGCGGGGCCCACCGGCUUCGAAGCCUGCGGGGCUGCCCUUGGGCCGCCCGACAGCCCCUCCUCCGCCGGAGCCGCCUGGACCCCGCUGCGGACGUCUGCAGGAUCCCGCCCAGGUCUCUGGUCCGGACUGACGGUCUGCGUGUCCCUGCAGACCCUCUUCUACCUGGUGCACAUCUGGAGGACGGACUGGACCAGCGCCGCCCAGCAGGAUGGGCAGCUCUGUUCGCAGAGAACGAGAGACGGUUCCCGCUGUGCUAGUCCGAGCACAGGGACCUUCCCGGAGGUGACACAGGCACACGCUGUGGCCGGGACAGCAGCACUGGCUGGUGCCGGAGGGAUCUCGAGAACGGCCGUCCCCAGGAGACCCAGGCGGGGUCUCCAGGUAAGGGCAGAGACAGGGCAGCAGCUCCUGUCCCUUGUCAGUGUGCCCUGAGCACCUGGGCCGCGCGAGGUCCCGGGUGAGUGAGGUGGCAGCAGAGGGCACGGGUUGGGGGGGGGCCUUACCUGUGCCAGUGGGCUCGGCCGCUCUGACCCUGCGCAGCCCGGCUCGAACCUGCGCCUGUCGCAGAGGUAAAGGCAGGGUGGUCAGGUUAGCCCAGGGCCUGGUGGGAAGCUCGCUUCAAGCUCCCGCUUGGGGUUUCAAUCCAAGCACGUCCGGAAAACGCCAGGGACGGCAGGGCCGCACCCAGCACUCGGCUCGCCACUGGCCGCUCCCAAAAAUGACCCAAGAGGCGGCCCUGCUUUAGACUCGCAAGCGAAACCGAGGUUCCGCGCUGCGCCCUGUUCCCGCCACCGACGCACGGAAGAAAGUCUAAAGAUGAGCGCCGACGGCUGCUCAGGGCCGAGGGUCCAGCCUGGCGUCCUGGGCACUUGCCGUGUCCGCAGGUCAGUCCGGGGGAGGCGGACAGGACCUGCCCGCCCUCUGUCCAUCCCCAGGCCCCUCUCCUCGGGGAUCCCGCCCCCAGCCGCUCACCCCAGACCCCGACCAGCUAACAGGGCGCUCGGGGCCCAGACGCCGAGGGUCCCCCCCGGGCCUCUGCCCGCAGGUCGGUCCCGCGUCCCUCCCACGGGGCAGGGGCCGCUCGCCCUGCUUACAGGGAACCACCGACCACGGGGUUUUCUCAGGAGGCCUAAUCCGGACGACAGAGCAGGAGAAACAGGACACACCGCUAUUCGCCCAGGGCGACGACACCGCGGUUUUUUUUUUUUUUGGGGGGGGGCACCCACAGCAGAAGGAAGUUCCCAGGCUAGGAGUCGAAUCGGAACUACAGCUGCCGGCCUGCACCACAGCCACAGCGACACAGGAUCCGAGCCCCACUGUAGCUCACAGCAACGCCAGAUCCUUAGCCCACUGAGAGAGGCCAGGGAUGGAAUCUGCGUCCUCACGGGUGCUGGACAGACUGGUUUCCACUGAGCCCUGACGGGAACUCUGCAAAGUAUUUUCUAGGCUGGUUUGGUUCCGGCCGAGCCUCCCCAGCAGACGCAAAGGGCUCAGUAUUGACGGAACAAACACCUGCUGGCGUGAGACCUUCUUCGGCCCCGACCCACACGCGACGCGCACCACGAGCCCAGGGGUUUCACGGAUGGAGCGCUCAUCAGAAACUAGUCUGAUACCAGGGCUGCAGAAUAUUAAUGCAAUCACAGGCUUCAGAAAUGCCCAGAGCCAGAGUGGUGAUAACCAUCUUGCUGUCUUUUGCACUUUUUUUUUUUUAAUGCCACAGCCAGCGUCCAAUCAUGACGUCACAUCUUCUGAGUCACCGUGACUCAGCAGAAGAAAACCCUUGGGAAGAAAAGCAAGGUGGCACGUGGACCCAGAGGUCAUGUCAUCAGGACUAAUUGCUGAAACCAGGAAUAAGCCUCAAGGAAUGAUUCCAGGGUUUAGCAGAAGGGCCUUUAAAUACCUGUAAAUCUACAGAGGAACAGCCAGGAGAAGAACUUUCUCGUCGGCAGAGUUGCCUCUGAGGGAGCAUGGCCCUCCUCGGAGGCCACGCAGAGGUCCCCUCGCCAUCUGGCUGGGAGGUACCCAGAGCAUCUGCGCCCAGGUGCAGCCAAGGAGGCGGGCUAACCGGGUCUCUCCCGCCUGAGGCGCUACCCUCUUGGGUCAGCUGCCUGCCCCUCGCACAGCCCCAACCGUUGCCAGCAAAGAUGAAAUCACAGCCAUUUCAAUCAAAACCAGAAACGCAAAACAACUUUUUCUUCAUAGAGGCAGUAAAAUCCGUGUACUCACUGCAAGUGCAUCAAAUAGAUGAAAGGGAGCAAAAAUAGGCAUCACACGGCUCACGAGGGAGAUAAUUGCUCUGUGGGAGGAAGAGACAGCAGUCAGUGACGCAAAAGCCGUAGUGGAGUGUGCAGCAUUUAUAACCACCACCGACCCGCCCAACCGAUCAGUCAGCACAGUCCAAAGGCUGCUUUCCUGUUUGAUAAAAUGAGGACGUGAGAAAACCUCACUCACCCAAAUUUUACUAGUCAGAGUGUAGGUGACAAGGGAUGUGGCUAGACUUCCGCUGUAGCAGGUGAUUACUGAAGUUUGGUCUGAGUAUAAACCGUGGGUCAGGAAGAAACAGCUGCAGGUUUCCACCUGUGCGCGACCACCCUCCUCGGCAAACCAGAGUCUUCCUCAGAAAGGCACUUGGAGGCCAGGGUUUUUUGUUUUUAAUGUUUUUUGGCCACGCCCACAGCAUGCAGAAGUUCCCGGGGCAGGGAUCAAACCCACACCACAGCAGUGACCAGAGACCUAGCAGUGACGACAUUGGACCCGUAUCCCACUGAGCCACCAGGGAAGGCCAGUGUUUAUGUAGAAAACACCUCAGUGGGUUAAGAACCUGACAUAGUGUUGGUGAGGAAGCAGGUUUGAUCCCUGGCCUCGCUCCGUGGAUUAAGGAUCCAGGGUUGCCGUGAGCAGUGGCGUAGGUCGCAGAGGUGGCUCGGAUCCGGCGUGUUGUUGCUGUGGUGGAGGCCGGCAGCUGCAGCUCUGUUUCAACCCCUUGCCUGGGAACCUCCAUGUGCGGCGGGUGCUGCUAUAAAAGGGAAGGAGAGAGGGGGAGAGGAAGGAGAGGGGGAGGAAUGGAGGAGGCCUGUGCUUCCCCCUCUGGCUGAGCGUGAGACUCUGCCCAAGCAGGAGGCGAAGGUCAAGGCUGAGCUGUGGGCUGCCUGGCUGAGCGCUGGAGGGGCUGCGACACCUGCAGAGAGCUCCCCGCCCCGCCAGCAAAGACUGGGAGGGGGCUGGGUGCAGACGUUGAAGGAACUGUCCAGUCGUGGUGGACCUCUAAGGCCACGCAGCAGAGCCCUCAGUGGCCACACUCAGCAGACAAUGCAGACUCGCCCACGUUAGGUCACAGAAGUCACUGAGCCAACAAUAAGCAGCAACAGCAAAGCCCAGGGAAAGGGAAAAUAUGAUUUCCAGAAUUGCCACAUUAUACCACUAAAAAAUACCUAAUUUUCAACAAAAAAUGAUGAGUCCUUUAAAGAAACAAGUACGCAUGCGCCCUACCCAGGGUACAAAAAGGAAUGAAAAAAAUCGUCUCUAAGGGAGCACAGACCUUGGACUCACUAAAAAAUACUGACAUCAGCUAUUUUAAAUAUGUUCAAAGAGUUAAGGAAAACCAUGUCUAAAGCUAAAGGAAGGAGUACCUGUUGUGGCUCAGUGGGUUAAAAACCCGACUAAUAUCCAUGAGGACACAGGUUCAAUCCCUGGCCUCCAUCAGUGGAUUAAGGAUCCAGCAUUGCUGUGAGCUGGGAUGUAGGUCACAGAUCCAGCAUUGCUGUGGCUGUGGUGUAGACCAGCAGCUGCAGCUCUGAUUCCACUCCUAGCCUGGGAACCUCCAUGUGCUGUGGGUGCAGUCCUAAAAAGACCAAAAAAAAAAAAAAAAUCCCACAACUCAGUGAACUUGAGGGUAGGGUACUUGAGAUUAUUCAUACCAAGGGACACAAAGAAAAACGAAAGAAGGAAAAUGAAGAGAGACUGUUGACACACCCAGGAAACCAGCACACAUAACAGUGGGAGUGCCAGAGGUGAGGAGAGAAAGACAGGAAAAAUACUGGGAGAAGGAAUGGCUGAAAACUUCCCAAAUGGGGAGGUCAGAGGUUACUGGGGCGAGGACAAGGGCACUAGAGAGAGGGGCUGGGGCAGUGGGUAGCUCAUCUGUGUGGAUACCAAGCUCAACCAGGAUGCUGGUAGAAUUGACAGGAGGGGGCAGAAGAGCCUAAUGAAGAUGCCAGAGAUUUAGGCAAAAGAGGACAUGGAGAUAUCAAAGCAUAUAUCAGGAGUUCCCCGUGUGGCUCAGCAGGCUAAGAACCUAGCUAUUAUCCAUAAGGAUGCAGGUUUGAUCCCUGGCCUUGCUCAGUGGGUUAAAGAUCCAGCAUUGUUGUGAGCUGUGGUGUAGGUCACAUAUGUGGCUCAGAUCCCGUAUUGCUGUGGCUGUGGUAUAGGCUGGCAGCUGCAGCUCCAAUUUGACUCUUAGCCUGGGAACUUCCACAUGCCAUACAGAUGCCAGAAGUAGGAAAGAAUAGGAAAUACUGUCACUAACAGAAUUAGGAACGAAAAAUGUCAGGAUGAGUCCCAAAAUAAUAAAGACUCUGGGUACAAAUGAAAUGUAAGCUCUGCAUUUCGGCUCAAGAAAACAGCCACAUGAAGGCAGGGUGUGGAUGCUGGGCUGGUCACAGCACACCCACAGUCAGACUGACUGUGGUAUUUCACUAGAAACCCAUCAUGUAGAACGAGGUACAGUGGACAUAGUUCUGCUCUAAAUGGGCUAAGAGCACAGCCUUCAGGUCUCACAAAUUCUAGAUGGUGGAGACUCAAAAUCACACUCCAUGGGGCAGGUCAGAAGGAAUUCCAGAUGGUUACAUACAGAGCCUAAGAGACACCUUCAAACAUCCGCCAGCUGUAAUUCAGAAAUGGAUUUAGACUCCUACAAGCACUGGAAUAAGUGGGUGGAAAUUAUGGGUAGAUUUCAGUUCAAAAUAAGAAAGGUGCCCUGAGAAUGAUGCUUCCUUGGAGGGGGGCAGCACAACCUCACCACAGGGGUUAUGAAAGUGGAGGUUGGACAGCCCAGCAAGAAUGAUUUGGAGGGAUCCCAGUGUAAGUUGGGUAAUUAUAUAUCAAAUAGACUCUUAGAUCCCUUUAGUUCUAAGAUUUUACCAAAUGAAGAAAGAUUUGCCAAGUUUUUUUUCCCUGUCCUCUCUCUGCUUAGAAAAUGAUUACAUUCUUUUUUAGGCAAAUCACAUCUCACGGAUAUUCCUUUAUCCCAGUCUUUUUUCUCGCUGCAUUUCCUUUAGAAUAUGGACUAUUGCUAUAUCUUCAAGUUCACUCAUCUUUUCUUCUGCAGUGUCUAACCGGCUGUUACUGUCAUCCAAAAUGUUUUCCUUUCAGACAUUUUUUUCAGCUCUGUAAGUUCAAUCUGUUGUUGCUUUUUUUUUAAAAAAAAAAUCUUUGAUGUUUUACUUGAGCAUGCUCAUGUUUUCCUCUGCCAUCUUGAAAAUACAAAACAUAGUUAUUAAAUCUUUUAAUAUCCCUGUGUACUAAUUCUAUCAUAUGUUUCAUUUCUGGAUCAGUUUCAGUUGAUUGAUGUUUCUAUGGAUUUUAGUUUCUUGCUCCUUUGUAUGCUUGUUUUUUUUUUUUUGGGCUUUUUAGGGCCACACUCAUGGCAUAUGUAGGUUCCAAGGCUAGAGACUGAAUCAGAGCUGCAGCUGCUGGCCUAUGCCACAACGUGGCAACGUGGGAUCCAAGCCGUUUCUGCAAGCUACACCACAGCUCACGGCAACACCAGAUCCCUGACCCACGUCCUCAUGGAUACUAGCUGGAUUUGUUUCCACUGCACCACAACAGAAACUCCAACUUAGUCAUUUUUAAUUAGAUGCAGGCAUUGUGAAUUUUACUCUGCCAGGUACUACAUAUUCUUGUAUUAUUUUAAAUACUCUUGGACUGUGAUACAGUUAACUCUCUUGGAAGCAGUUUGAUCCUUUCCAAGUCUUCUUUUAAGUCUUGUUUGGUGGGACCAGAGCAGCCUUCAUCCUAGGGCUCGUUUUCCUCCAUUGUAGAGGCAAAGGUCCUUCAGGGAACUCCCUUAGCCAUCCCACACACUACAAGGCUUAGUUUGUUCUGCCUGCUCCUUUCUGGUGUCCCCCCAAGACCCCCACCCUGCUCCCCCAGCCUCAAGUAGGAUCCUUACAGGCAUGAUCAGCUCAGUGGUCAACUAAAGACUCGAAGUCUGCAGCCCUCCAAAGCUCAUUCUCUGGGCGCCCUCCCUGCACUGGGACUCUGCCUGGGAACCCGGCCGCAUGGCCUCCCUGACUCCCAGGAGAUGGAGUGGCUUGGCAGGGCCCCGUCUGUGCUUUGUCCUGGGAAUCCCCUUGCGGUAGGUACACUGGGGCAGUCAAAGGGUUCUCCCCAUCCGUCUCCCUGCACGGUUUCUCUGUGCUGCCUGCUGUCCAAUGUCUGAAACCAUUUUUUGGUUUUGUUUUGUCUUUUUGUCUUUUUAGGGCUGCACCUGUGGCAUAUGGAGGUUCCCAGGCGAGGGGUUGAAUCAAAGCCAUAGCCACUGGCCUAUGCUAGAGCCACAGCAAUGCGGGAUCCGAGCUGCAUCUGCAACCUACACCCCAGCUCGCGGCAGUGCUGGAUCCUUAACCCACUGAGCGGGGCCAGAUACUGAACGCACAUCCUUAUGGAUGCCAGUCGGCUUCAUUCACCACCGAGCCGUGGCAGGAAUCCCCAUUUCUUUAAAUACAGAUUUUGUCCCCAAGUUUAGUUGUUUCAGAUAUGAGGGUAAAUCUAGUUCCUAUUACUCCAUCUGACUAGCUCCUCGGUCCUGAGAUUUGAUGAGAAUAUGUUUAAGCACUCGUCGAAAACCAAUGGGGUCGGGUCAAACAAGGGGAGCACAUUUGGAAGUAAAAAAACUGAUUUUCUUUACAUGCGGAAUCUGAGGCAACUGGUUUAAAUUACUGAAGCUUUUUCAUGAGGAUUUGGCUAAUUCAAGAUAGUUUCUUGUAUCUAAAUAAUUACACACUCAUAAUUACAGAGAAUGCAGUGACAUUCAACCUAAGAUUGGGUCCAUGGUUUAUGCAGACAUUGCCCAGAUGACCCAGAGGUGCUUGGGGAUGCUGUGCCCUGGACAGGGAGGUGCCUCUCCUGGGAAGAGGGUUUUCCCUUUGCUCUUCCUGUGUGUCUCUGAGCAAAACCACACUGAGCACAGGAGAAACCCCACUUGGGUUUGAUGGAUGAAUGAACGGGUGUCGGAGUGGCUUCCAUGGGCUUCCUUCCUCCCACCUUGUUCAGAUUUAGGUACUGUGGUUCGCUCUCCCGGCCGCCUGCAGAUUUUCCCGAGAAGUAAAAAGUGACCCACCUCUCAGAGCCAGAAAAGCACAGCAAAGAAAGCAAGCAUCUUCGAGAAGAUGGUACCUACUUGUCUCUGGUAAACGCAUAGGCAACCACAUCCUUUAAAGCAGCAAGCACGGUGCUUAUCACAAGUGCACAGACACCUGGAAAAAACACACAAGACAACGGGAAAUGGCAGCUCUGCAGGCAGGGACCAAGCCCUGGACUGACUGCUCACUAGGGAUCUGGGUCAAUAAUUGAAGAAAUGUCAUCACGAAACUUUUUUCUCAUCGCAGAGGAAAAGAGCAACUAAGUCGGGAGAGUCUAACUCCUUUUUUGAAGGGAGACUCGGAGAGAUGCUCAGUAGACACCACCAAACUCAGGAAAGUCUCUGAUGCGCAGAUUCCAGGACAUUCCAGCUGUCUGAGAGGCAGUGGUCCAGGGACCAGGAGAGCUGGACACACAGACUCUGGUCAGAAAUAAGCCUGCCCAUGAUAA